CUCCUUGAGUCCAACCACCAUCGGACAUCAGCAGGACCAUUUCCUGAGUGUCGCUGCCACUGGGAAACAGGUUCCCUGGGUCCUCAUCCUCUGAGUGGUCACCUACCAGGAGAUGCUGAAACCCAGCAGGCAGUGACUGCCAUUCCGUCUAGUCCCCUCCCCUAGCACCUCGAACAGAUGGCACAGGGAUUUCUAUGUCCAACGAGCCAGCUGCAUUUCCCCUGAAGCCACGGAAUGCUUUAAAAGAGAAUAAAAAGGCCACACUGCUAGUGUUCCCAGCAGUCAUGACCCAAGAAGUAUCUCAUUCCUGUUUUUGUGGCUAAG